rnacentral:pre_miRNA from 1 species
GCUAGGGCCUGAUCCAAAGCCCACUGAAGUCAAAGGGAGUCUUUCUAUUGACUUCUAUGAGCUUGGGAUCAGGCCCAGGAUGC